rnacentral:rRNA from 1 species
AGUGAACGCUGGCGGUAGGCCUAACACAUGCAAGUCGAACGGCAGCACAGUAAGAGCUUGCUCUUACGGGUGGCGAGUGGCGGACGGGUGAGGAAUACAUCGGAAUCUACUUUUUCGUGGGGGAUAACGUAGGGAAACUUACCCUAAUACCGCAUACGACCUACGGGUGAAAGCAGGGGUUCUUCGGACUUUGCGCGAUUGACUGAGCCGAUGUCGGAUUAGCUAGUUGGCGGGGUAAAGGCCAACCAAGGCGACGAUCCGUAGCUGGUCUGAGAGAAUGAUCAGCCACACUGGAACUGAGACACGGUCCAGACUCCUAAGGGAGGCAGCAGUGGGGAAUAUUGGAAAAUGGGCGCAAGCCUGAUCCAGCCAUACCGCGUGGGUGAAGAAGGCCUUCGGGUUGUAAAGCCCUUUUGUUGGGAAAGAAAAGCAGCAGGUUAAUACCCCGCUGUUCUGACGGUACCCAAAGAAUAAGCACCGGCUAACUUCGUG